rnacentral:rRNA from 1 species
GAGGUUUGACCUGCUCUAUGAUUUAUUAAAUGGCCGCGGUAUUUUGACUGUGCAAAGGUAGCAUAAUCAUUAGUUUAUUAAUUGUGAACUUGUAUGAAUGGUUUGACGAAAUAUUAACUGUUUCUUAUAUAAAAUUAGAAUUUAAAUUUUGAGUUAAAAUGCUUAAAUUUAUUUUAUUAGACGAGAAGACCCUAUAGAUCUUUAUUAUUUUUUAUAUUAUAUUUUUGGUUUUAUUUAAUAUUCUGAAUUUUUUUUGGGGUGACAUGGAGAAAGUUUUAAUUAAACUCUUUUUUUUUAUUUACAUUUAUUUAUGAAUAUUUGAUUUUAUUUUAAUUAUUAAAGAUUAAGAUACCUUAGGGAUAACAGCGUUAUUUUUUUUGAGAGUUCAUAUUGACAAGGAAGAUUGCGACCUCGAUGUUGGAUUAAGAUUAUUAAAAGGUGCAGCAGCUUUUUUAAUAGGUCUGUUCGACCUUUAAAUUCUUACA